UCUACGGGUGGCUGCAGUGGGGAAUAUUGGACAAUGGGCGAAAGCCUGAUCCAGCCAUGCCGCGUGUGUGAAGAAGGCCUUCGGGUUGUAAAGCACUUUCAGUGGGGAAGAAAGCCUUGGGGCUAAUACCCUCGAGGAAGGACAUCACCCACAGAAGAAGCACCGGCUAACUCCGUGCCAGCAGCCGCGGUAAUACGGAGGGUGCGAGCGUUAAUCGGAAUUACUGGGCGUAAAGCGCGCGUAGGCGGUCUGAUAAGCCGGUUGUGAAAGCCCCGGGCUCAACCUGGGAACGGCAUCCGGAACUGUCAGGCUAGAGUGCAGGAGAGGAAGGUAGAAUUCCCGGUGUAGCGGUGAAAUGCGUAGAGAUCGGGAGGAAUACCAGUGGCGAAGGCGGCCUUCUGGACUGACACUGACGCUGAGGUGCGAAAGCGUGGGUAGCAAACAGGAUUAGAUACCCAGUAGUC
rnacentral:rRNA from 1 species